CUGGGAUUCGGUGUGUGUUUUACCAUCUUCAUGUUCCGUUGGUGAAUUAACCAUUUGCGAAAGCAUUUUUACUUGCCAACGAACUUAAAUGUUGUGUCGUUAAGGAAUCUAAAUCGACAGCAACUUUCCGAAAUGGAAUUUUAAUCUUGAAGCCGAAACACUCAUCGAUACCGAUCCGAUCCACGAUAUAACGCCUUUUACAUUACUUGCUGUUUGACGAAGUUUUUUUUGUUUACUCUCUACUUAGAGAGUCCUUGUAUUGGAUAGGAGUCCUUGUACGAGAUAAAAUCCUUGUACCGAUCUACGUACCGAAUGGUGUUAUUGAGGAUGGAUUGAACUUGGGAAGUUAGGCGACAGAAUAUUGCAGAGCAGUGCCGUAAAAUCUAGCAUUGCAACGUUACGAUCUUGCGGGCUAAGCCGAACUCUUCUAAUAACCGACACCUUUUAUUGCACUACGUAGAAGACUUACACCAGGACCCAGAGGAGCCAUUCAGACGUAAAUAUUUGAUCCUGUGGUGAUGUAAAUGUUAUAAAUUUAUCUGUUUGUAUUGAAUUGGACCCACAUUGUGGUAAUUGGCAUAUGCACUCAAGCCAAUUGUAAUACUGUUAAUUAGUCAGCUUGGAAUAUUGGGAUACGAUAAUUGAUAAUCACUUAAGUAUUACUCCCAUGUACGAAGUAAUAACCAGUAUGUAACGUACGAGCUCGUAACGACUUGAACCACUUCAUUGCCCCCAAGCUACCGAUUAAGGGAUUGAAAUCACUUUAUCUAAUUCAUCACUUGUGCCACGGUAACAAUAUUUGUGUUCUGACCCCAGAGAUUCUGGUGGGUUUUAUUCCGUAUUUCAUGGGGGAAAUUUUUUUUUUGUAAAUGUUUUAUGUUUGAAUUAAUUUGGAGUAUUUAUUGUUUAAAGCCUCAUAGUUGGACCUAAGUUUUUGGGAUUCCCAUUGGGGAACCGAAGUUUUGGUUGUGCUUUUAUGAAGGUGCAGAGCACCCCAAUAAAUAAUUAUUUUUGUGGGA